AGGUCCUGAAUAAUUUGCAAGAGCACACAAUUUGAAAAGGUCUUGUUUGAGAUGGGGAAAAUCCUAAUUUAAGACUUCCCGGAGUCCUUUUCUUCUUUGUCUCCCAUAUACAAUUUUGUCUCUUGGACAGUUGUGCUAGAAAAGCUUUCCUGUUUUUCUACUAUUGUCUAUCCCAAUGCAUCUCUACAUGACCUGGGAAUCCACUGAUGAAUGUAUACAUCAUUUGAAUUCAGGCUGAACAAAUCAUAAUUGUCUUAAGGAAGAUCUUCUGCUAUGGACUUUGAUGGAUUCUAGAAGAUUGCAACCAUUACAACCACCUCAUUAUUAUAUCCUUUGCUAUCAAUCUUUCCGCAGUAUUAACCUCAGGAUUUAAAGAAAUCCAAAGUACUAACUCUUAAUACUAGGGAACUUAGUUCUUCCCUAGAACUUUGUGAUGGUUUAACAGUGAGCCUAAUGUCUUGUGCCAACUGAUGUAAUUGUACCUGGCAAACAGUGCCUAGGAACUGCCAGUUUCAAGCUGGAGACUGACAGAUGAAUAGCUUUUCUUUCUAAAGAGAGCCAGGUGCUUGGAGUUAGAUGUAAAGGGCUUAGGUAUUGCCUUGAAGCUAAGCUGUUUCAUCCUCUCUUUGAUAGUAAUAAAUGGGAGAAAUUCACGAGUCAGAGGACUAUAAAACUACUCCAGAUCCAAAGAUGACACCUGCCACAGUCUGGCUGCCUCUUUUUUAGUUUUUUGGGGUUUUUUUUUAAGUUUUUGUCAUUUUUUAUAAUGUUGAUAAUUUCUACAGCCUCACCACUCCCUUCAUCUACCAGGGUUAUUUUAACUCAGAUUUGGAACAAAUUAUUCAGAUAUUUCAUAGCAGCUGAUAUGUCUUUAAUGGUACAGUUAGGGUUCCCAUGUUAACACUAAUCCUUUUCCACUUGUACAUCUGGCACCACAGAAAAAGCGUGAGUGCUUAGCUAAGUAAUUUUCCUACCUAUAAGAAUUCAGGCACAACUACACAGAGACAGCUGCUUGUAUUUGCCAGGUCCAUUGCAUGCAUCAGUGACCUUGCAGUUGCAAUUUAGUUGCAGGAGCAACGAAACCUUACAUGUUAGAUAUGAAGAUACUAUUCACUACUUUAGGAAUACUGAUUUUAGUAGUUAUUAACCAAGUAAGAUAAGAACUGUGUAACUGUACUAAACUUACUUGUAUUAAGAUGCUGGGUAUGUUCAAUAUGGGGUUGUUUUGAAAGAAGAAAAAGUCAGAUUAAAGUAAUUCUAAAAAACCAGAUUAUUAGAGAAAACACAGCAUACAAAUAAAGAUGAUUAUAAUCUAUACGUAGCCAAAAGUAUGUAUUUGUCUGCUAAAGCCUAGUGUAUAAACAUAAUUACUGAGGAAUGAAGGAUGGUGACUGGUAAAGAGCAGGGACAAAAAGAGGAAGUAUCAGGGAGUUAUAUACAGCCAGGUCAGCUGGAGGUCUAGUUAUGCUCCUGAAGUAUGAUAAACUGUAGGGAAGACAAGAAUGCAUAAACAUGCAUAUAUUUUAAAUUCAUUUCUCCAAAGUCUUUCAG